GACAGAGGUGGCAAGCGUUGCUCGGAGUCACUGGGCUUAAAGGGCGCGUAGGCGGUCGGGCACGUCGGGGGUGAAAUCCCCGGGCUCAACCCGGGAACUGCCUUCGAUACUGUCGAGCUUGAGUGCAGGAGGGGUGAGCGGAACUCCAGGUGUAGCGGUGAGAUGCGUAGAUAUCUGGAGGAACACCGGAGGCGAAGGCGGAUCACUGGACUGCCACUGACGCUGAGGCGCGAAAGCUAGGGGAGCAAACAGG
rnacentral:rRNA from 1 species